AUUGAACGCUGGCGGCAGGCCUAACACAUGCAAGUCGAGCGGCAGCGGGAAAGUAGCUUGCUACUUUUGCCGGCGAGCGGCGGACGGGUGAGUAAUGCCUGGGAAAUUGCCCAGUCGAGGGGGAUAACAGUUGGAAACGACUGCUAAUACCGCAUACGCCCUACGGGGGAAAGCAGGGGACCUUCAGGCCUUGCGCGAUUGGAUAUGCCCAGGUGGGAUUAGCUAGUUGGUGAGGGAAUGGGUAACCAAGGCGACGAUCCCUAUCUGGUCUGAGAUGAUGAACAGCGACACUGAAAGCGAGACACGGUCCAGACUACUACGGGAGGCAGCAGUGGGGAAUAUUCCACAAUGGGGUAAACCCUGAUGCAGCCAUGCCGCGUGUGUGAAGAAGGCCUUCGGGUUGUAAAGCACUUUCAGCGAGGAGGAAAGGUCAGUAGCUAAUACCUGCUGACUGUGACGUUACUCGCAGAAGAAGCACCGGCUAACUCCGUGCCAGCAGCCGCCGUAAGAC
rnacentral:rRNA from 1 species